UGGCUCCUGGGCCAAGGCCCAGCGGCAAAGAAGAAGCGGGAGCCUGGGCAGAGGCUGGGAGCUGAGAGGACCGCUCCUGCACUGGUCCCCAGGAUGGAUCUGAGUGGAGUCAAGAGCAUCUCUCCCUGGCUCCCUUCUCAGUUGAUUCCAGCCAAUCAGCGUGGAGAGUCAGGCAGCGGCAGCGGCAGCGGCAGGAAUGCUAAACAGCGGCUCCUUAAAGGAACAGAACCAGUGGCGCCCCCAGGCUCAGCCCCAGCUCCCCAGAUAUCUGGGAUAUCGCCGACCCUAAAGCGGGGAUGGAGGAUUUGGGCCGCGGGCCUGAAAUGACCGCAAUCUCACACUUGACCUGCUUCCAUCACUAGUGAGGAACUCAACCCUAGAACAGGAGGAAAGGAGAGCUCUAAGCUCUCGUCCCUGGCCCACAGGCUCCUGUGUCCUUCGCCCUACUCCUACAUGGUUAUGAUGGGAGAAAGAGCUUCAGGGUGCCAAGAGGAAAGAGAGUCCAGGAUGGAAGGAAAGCUUAUGAAAGGCGCCCCAGGAACCCACAUUUUGAAGAGAAAGUCACUAGGAUUUGCUGACAGAAUGGAUAUGAGG